rnacentral:rRNA from 1 species
UACGAAGGGAGCGAGCGUUGUUCGGAAUCACUGGGCUUAAAGCGUGCGUAGGCGGGUUAGUAAGUCCGAAGUGAAAGCCCGGGGCUUAACCCCGGAACUGCUUUUGAGACUGCUAAUCUAGAAUUCGGUAGAGGCUAGUGGAAUAUCCAGUGUAGAGGUGAAAUUCGCAGAUAUUGGAUGGAACACCAGUGGCGAAGGCGACUAGCUGGGCCGAUAUUGACGCUGAGGCACGAAAGCGUGGGUAGCAAACAGG